GAGAAACAAUGCGUUUUACAAGGUAAUCAAGUUUGUGAGUAUGUAAUAUCUGUUCUUGUAAUUUGUUUCAGUUGAAAUGUACAAUGCUUAUGUGCUUAGAACACGUUAUACAAUGGAUUAACAGUUGCUAUUACUAGCCGGCAUUAAUGGAAAUUUUCUUGGUUAAGCAUUUUUUUAAAUUUGGAUAACUUUAUUUUUGAAGAAGGCUUUAAAUGAGUUGAAGCUAUUUGUUUAUAUAUGCACAUAGUCUUUCAUUUAAUUCUUGUGUUCUUGCAGGUCUUCGAUAUGUCGAGCAAAA
rnacentral:misc_RNA from 1 species